CAGAGCUGUAACACACAUGUUGCUGGUUUAAUGGCUGAUAAACACGGGAAGCAUUACACAUGACAACAAGACACAUACUGCAGAAACAUGAGCAGGGAGUAGGGCAUUGAAACCCAACAUCCUGCCUCUAAGGAGAGAGGGCACCAGCUCUUUACACCAGCACCUGACUUCCUGCAUGCCGCCACAGUAGGCUGGGCAGCAGUAGCUCAGUCCACAGGGACUUGGGUUGGGAACCAGAGGGUCGAUGGGUCAAGUCUCUGUCCUCUCCAAAUAUGGAGCUGGAGAGCCGAAACCUCAACUUCUCAGGGUGCCUGUCUGUGGCCUCGUUCUGACAUCUCUCCAUCUCAUAGGACAACUUUUGGCAUCCAAUCACGUCUGGUACUCUGCUUUCGUCAUGCUGAAGUGGGCGUGGUUUCAUCUGAAGUGGGUCGCAUUUGGUGUCCUUCAGCCUCUGAGAGAGCCACAGAAUUAGAUACAUGUGAUAAACUUUAUUAAUUCUUUAGAAAGAAAGUUCAACAGAGAAAAGAACCAGACAGCAGGGAUUCAGUGGUGGGAGGUGUAAAGUCUCGCACCAUUGACAUCAGACAACGUAAACCCUCGACAGAAGACUAUAGAACAAGAAGAAGACCAAAGAUCUCCCCUUCUCAUUUCAUUCACCCUCUUCCUCUCGGUCCCUCGCUGCCCCUUUGUCGGGCGAACAGGCCGGCAGCCGACAUCAGCUGAAUCCCCGAGCCACACAGAACUAUAGAAGGCAAACAUCCAGCCAACUCUGAAAGAAACUCAGAAUUAACAACAAACUCUAAACCUGGGGGAAGGCAGCGCCGGCGGACAGGUGGGACGAAUGGAGAUGUUACCACCCAGCUGCCUGCUGAGAGAGAAUGAGCAACUUUAUCUAGUGAGGCUCCACCUGCAGCGCCGCCCUAAAGGCAGAGUUGGCGUCCUGAGGGCUGAAGUGUUACCAGUCUCGUCCACGGUGUGGCUCAGAGGAGGCUGCACCCAGUGUGCUGAUUUGUGAACCAACUGAAGAAGCAAGAAACCUGCGGCGCUGCGACCUUUGACCUUGGACUCCCCCCUCCCGCUAAGUAGACACUGACUUUUAUUAGUAGAGUGGAGGACCUCAUGAAAAUAUUUUCCCCAUUUGGUUUUGAUAUAUUUAUGUAA